UAUAAACUUAUACUCUAAUUAAUGUUAAUUUAGAGUUAUUUUGAUAUUGAUUUUUAAUUUUAGGGUGAAAUCAGAAAUUAUUUUUAUUUAAACUCUAAAUUUUAAGAUUUAGUAAACAAACCAGAUUAGUACCUGGUUAGAUAAAAUUUAAAAGAGCAGGAGUAAAGUUAUAUUUAAACUGUAAGAAUAUUGGCAGGUUUUUAAAUUAUCUUUGGAGGCUGAGUAGUGAUUGAGAGCCCUCAUUUUCAACUUUUUCUUUAGGCGCAUGUAUGAUCGUUUAUUUUAUUCUUAAGGAUUGUAAUUUUAGUCUUUGCUAUAAAAAUAGAUAGAUAUCUGGCUUAUGAGAAAGAUUUAAUUUGGCCUACAAUAAUUUAAUUUUUGGAUUCUAGUUUUAGAGGCUAGAUGAAAUUGUAAAAGACAGUAAGUUGCUUUUAAUGGGUGGCUGAAGUUUAUUUAAAAACGGUACAAAUCAUCCAUCAAUUGCCUAUAGG
rnacentral:ncRNA from 1 species